AGUUGUUGCAGUUAAAAAGCUCGUAGUCGGAUUUUGGCUGAGAACGGUCGGUCCGCCGUUAGGUGUGCACUGACUGGUCUCAGCUUCCUGGUGAGGAGGUGUGCUUCAUCGCCACUUAGUCACCGUGGUUACUUUGAAAAAAUUAGAGUGUUCAAAGCGGGCUUACGCUUGAAUAUAUUAGCAUGGAAUAACACCAUAGGACUCCUGUCCUAUUUCGUUGGUCUCGGGACGGGAGUAAUGAUUAAGAGGAACAGUUGGGGGCAUUCGUAUUUCAUUGUCAGAGGUGAAAUUCUUGGAUUUAUGAAAGACGAACUUCUGCGAAAGCAUUUGCCAAGGAUGUUUUCAUUGAUCAAGAACGAAAGUUGGGGGCUCGAAAAUGAUUAGAUACCAUCCUAGUCUCAACCAUAAACGAUGCCGACUAGGGAUUGGCGGAUGUUAAUUGAUGACUUCGCCAGCACCUUAUGAGAAAUCAAAGUUUUUGGGUUCCGGGGGGAGUAUGGUCGCAAGGCUGAAACUUAAAGGAGUUGACGGAAGGGCACCACCAGGCGUGGAGCCUGCGGCUUAAUUUGACU
rnacentral:rRNA from 1 species